rnacentral:rRNA from 1 species
AGAGUUUGAUCAUGGCUCAGGACGAACGCUGGCGGCGUGCCUAACACAUGCAAGUCGAACGAGAUCCAUGGGAGCUUGCUCCCGGAAGAUCUAGUGGCGAACGGGUGAGUAACACGUGAGAAACCUGCCCUGGAGUGGGGAAUAACUCGGGGAAACUCGAGCUAAUACCGCAUACCCUCGGAUGGUCGCAUGGCCGACCGAGGAAAGAUUUAUCGCUCUAGGAGGGUCUCGCGGCCUAUCAGCUAGUUGGUGGGGUAACGGCCUACCAAGGGCAACGACGGGUAGCUGGUCUGAGAGAACGAUCAGCCACACUGGGACUGAGACACGGCCCAGACUCCUACGGGAGGCAGCAGUGGGGAAUCUUGCGCAAUGGGCGAAAGCCUGACGCAGCAACGCCGCGUGCGGGAUGACGGCCUUCGUGGUUGUAAACCGCUUUCAGCAGGGACGAAAAUGACGGUACCUGCAGAAGAAGCCCCGGCUAACUACGUG